rnacentral:lncRNA from 1 species
AAUCAUUAAAGAUUUUUAAAAGUUUUACACCUCGACAAAGAACUGUAAAUUUUUAUGUUUUAUUUUUUUCGCUGGCUGACUGGCAAAGAUUAACAUUAGUUCUAAGGACACAGAGCUAAGUCAGCAUGGAUCCCUCAUUCUUGAGUUCGUUCUGGUUGGGGGAAAAGAAGUAGUGUGUGAGCUCUGCACACCCCCUGGGUGCAUACAUCAGGUGUGGUUUUACCCAGAGGUUAAAGGCCUGUUCUGGUGAACACAUGGCAUAUUUUGAGGUUAGUGGUUGGGGCACUGGAGUCAGACCUGGAUACAAGCACUGAUCUCACCAUUUACUAGUGUGUAAACUUUAAUGUGAAUCUUGUUCAUAUUUUGCAGCUAGCAAAUAA